rnacentral:lncRNA from 1 species
UGAGUCUUUACAGGACACAUUCUCUCUCCUCUCUUUUUGACAAAACCAGCUUAAUACUGCUCAAAACAACAAUUUUCUCACCAUCUCUCUCUUCCCCAUGUCCUUCCCGUCAUCUCUUUCCCUUCAUAUUGACUUAAGGAUUGCCACAAGCGUCAACGUUGGAGAUGCGCCAGGCACAUUUGAAGCAUUUGCUGCUGUAGGCUGAGACUCCGAGUGAACCGAACUUGAAGGGGAAAAAGUCGACUGCCCAUAUUACGAAGAUAGAAUUAAGUCUACUUUUAAAUCACGGAUCCAUAAAUAGUUUUCAGUUAUUAGAAGUUGUUCAGCUUGCCUCUGACACACAAGAGUGGACAUUGUUCUCCCUCAACGGAAUGGCAAUAUGAGCAUGCUCCUUACAUGGUGAAUCUGCAUUUAGCAAGAAAAAAAAUCACAGAUUUUGCACCUUCCUUGAUAUGAAAAGAAUUUAAAAAAAGUACAGCAAAUACCAAACAGAAAAGAAACGUGCCUGCAAUUUCUGCAACAGUUGCUCUAGGAGCCCCGUGAUGAGAAUUUGCUUCACAAUUUUUGAUAUCAUGAUUGAUCCUGAUUUUUCCAAUGGCCCGUUAACAUGAGAGAAAAAUUCAACCACUAGAUAGAACCAAGUGCGGUUGCUGGACCCCACGAAUUUUAGGAAUUUCAGAAGGUCAUUCUAACAAAUGAUGUACGCCCUGCUUGCUGUAUGCGCAUAUAAUGUAUAUAUGUGUGGGCCAUCGAGGGGCAAAAGUGAAAGUGCACGAAUUUUAACGUUAUUUUACUAACUUCGUGAAAAUAACGUUAAAAGCUGAGGACGGUUAAUUUUGCAUCAUGUGGUAGCGUUGAUAGCUGAGAGACAAAAGGGUACAUUCACUACUCGGUCUUUGUCCCGAGUGUUGAGUGUUAUGUGCCUUAUGUCCAAGGCUUAAUGCAAAACUACUAUCGAGCCGGGGGUCUCACUGGAAGCAGCCUCUCUAUUCCUACGGGGUAGAGGUAAGGCUGUCUACAUCUUACCCUCCUCAGACCCUACCUUAGCUUUGCUAUUGGUGGGAUUAACUGAGUAUGAUGAUGAUGAUGAUGAUGAUGAUGAUUCUAACAAAUGAUGACACAACAGGGCUGCAAACGAACUGAACGAUGUUCAUUUGUUAAGGAAUAUAUGUGUUCACGAACUGUUUAUGAACACUUACCGAACGAGAUUUUAUGCUCACGUUCGUUUGUUAAGGAAAUGAACAAAUUUGUGUUUGUUUGUUAAUUUAGGCAAAGAACGCAAACGAGCGUUCAUGAACACAAAUGGAAACAAACGAACACAAACAAGUGUUCAUGAACAUAAUAUAUAAUAAACUUAUUGAUGCCGUUAUAAAAUAUAUUUUAUUUGUUGGAGUUUUGAAGUAAUUAAAUAAAAUAUACAAACUGAAAAUACCAAUGAAGUUUUGAACACGAACGAACACGUUAUCGAACGUUCACGAACAUAGAUGAACGAACGCGACCUCUGUUCAUGUUCGUUCAUUUACGAAACGAACGAACACAAACAAACUUCCCGCUGAAAGGUUCACGAGCUGUUCGCUGAACGUUAGGUUCGUUUGCAGCCCGACACAAGACCAUAAUGUUCUGCCUUGUCCUGUAUCUGACCAUGAUGUGCACAUUAUACAAGAUUAACUACUUACAUGACAGUUCAUUUAUAAGCAUGUUCGUUUCUUUUUUGUUUCAACUUUCAUGAUACGGUGAUAGCAUGAGAAAUCGUCAUGUUUAUGUCCUAAUAUUUAUGAAUAGUUUUUU